rnacentral:lncRNA from 1 species
CAUCUCUCCUCACAUCAUUACUGUGUGGUUCUCAGUAUCCCUCCAGUAGCAGCUGGAAGACCAACUGUCAAAAACAGCCUGUGUGCUAUGCACUUCAGGCUGAGAGCCAAGAACCAACAGUAUCUCCCAACUCAGGUACAGUCCUCCUACUAUGGGGAUCACAAAACACGGACCCCCCAGAGCACGGCCCAAAUGCCCUUUGCUGGCCCAGGCUCCCAUUUGAGCUCAUCACGCUGAGGUCACCUUGGCUAUGUGUAGAAGACAUAGGGCAGUGUAGUGAGAAACAGGCCCUGAGGAAAAGCUGUUGAAAAGGAGGUUGCCACUCAGACAUGCUGCAUGACUGCCUAGGCUUGAGAGCCUCCUGGAGGCUGGUGCAGCCCCAGGAUGCUGCAGACCCAGAAUCAGCCUUUUCAGUCUCCCUUCAAGUCGGGGCACUGGCCCAGAG